UACGGGGGGGCAAGCGUUGUCCGGAAUCAUUGGGCGUAAAGCGCGCGUAGGCGGCCCCGUAAGUCCGCUGUGAAAGUCAAAGGCUCAACCUUUGAAAGCCGGUGGAUACUGUGGGGCUAGAGUCCGGAAGAGGCGAGUGGAAUUCCUGGUGUAGCGGUGGAAUGCGCAGAUAUCAGGAGGAACACCAAUAGCGAAGGCAGCUCGCUGGGACGUUACUGACACUGAGGCGCGAAAGCGUGGGGAGCGAACAGG
rnacentral:rRNA from 1 species